rfam:Capsicum annuum cultivar Zunla-1 unplaced genomic scaffold scaffold3067, whole genome shotgun sequence
AGGGAGUAUGGUCGUAAAACUAAAACUUAAAUGAAUUAACAGAAGGGCACCGCCAGAAGUGGAGCCUGUGGCUUAAUUUGACUCAACAGGGGAAAACUUACCAGGUCCAAACAGAGUGAGGAUUGACAAACUAAGAGCCCUUUCUUGAUUCUAUGGGUGGUGGUGCACGACCGUUCUUAGUUGGUGGAGCAAUUUGUCUGGUUAAUUCCGUUAACAGAUGGGUCCUCAUCCUGCUAAACAGUUAUGCAGAGGUAUCCCUUUGCCACCAGCUUCUUAGAGGGACUACGACCUUUUAGGCCGCGAAAGUUUGAGGUAAUAAUAGGUUUGUGAUGCCCUUAGAUGUUCUGGGCCGUAGGCGCGCUACACUGAUGUAUUCAAUGAGUUUUAUAUAUGCUUUAAAAAAACCAACUGACAGGAGUUGACAUGAUUUUGCUAGAGAAUCAUACUAGACAUAUAUGAAGCAGAACUGCACGUGUUGAUAUAAGUCCGAGCCAAUGCACUCACAAAUGAGUCACGUAAUUUGUAAA